UACGGGAGGCAGCAGUGGGGAAUAUUGGACAAUGGGCGAAAGCCUGAUCCAGCAAUGCCGCGUGAGUGAUGAAGGCCUUAGGGUUGUAAAGCUCUUUUACCCGGGAUGAUAAUGACAGUACCGGGAGAAUAAGCUCCGGCUAACUUCGUGCCAGCAGCCGCGGUAAUACGAGGGGAGCUAGCGUUAUUCGGAAUUACUGGGCGUAAAGCGCACGUAGGCGGCUUUGUAAGUUAGAGGUGAAAGCCCCAGAGCUCAACUCUGGAAUUGCCUUUUAAGACUGCAUCGCUUGAAUCCAGGAGAGGUGAGUGGAAUUCCGAGUGUAGAGGUGAAAUUCGUAGAUAUUCGGAAGAACACCAGUGGCGAAGGCGGCUCACUGGACUGGUAUUGACGCUGAGGUGCGAAAGCGUGGGGAGCAAACAGGGAUUAGAUACC
rnacentral:rRNA from 1 species